GACGGAGGGUGCAAGCGUUGUUCGGAAUCACUGGGCGUAAAGCGCGUGUAGGCGGUUCGAUAAGUCGGACGUGAAAGCCCGGGGCUUAACCCCGGAAGGGCAUCCGAAACUGUCGAGCUUGAGGACGGGAGAGGGAAGCGGAAGUCCUGGUGGAGAGGUGAAAGUCGUAGCUCGCAGGAGGAAAACCGGGGGCGAAGGCGGCGUCCUGGACCGAUACUGACGCUGAGACGCGAAAGCGUGGGGAGCAAACAGGAUUAGAUACCCCCGUAGUCC
rnacentral:rRNA from 1 species